AUCCUCUCCUUUCCGGGGAAGGAUCUGGGCCCUGCAGGCCCCUGGAGCGCGAAGGCGGCGGCUACGGCGCUGAGGGCUCUGCGCGGCGGCCGUGGGAGCUCCCGGACAGCGGCGGCGGCGUCGGCGGCGGCAGUUCUCCGGUACUGGACGCCGUAAGGGGAGGAAGCGGAUUUUCCCAGCAAGAUCUCCAUGUACAGCUACAUCUUUAGGGCCGCUCGGGUUAAUAUAUGUCGUCAGAGGCUCCUCACGCCAAUCCCGGGGCGGCGGGGGCGGCGCCUCGCGCUCUCCGCAAUAAAACUUUUUGAUGUUCUUGUUGCUAAUUGCCGAGGUCCUCGUCCAGGAUUGGCUGCCCCUUCAUAACCAGAAGAUAAUUAAAACGAGGGUGGGGGGAGCAGGGUUAAAAAAACUUUUUUAUCAGCCGGAGGUUAAUGCAAGUGUUUAACAGAUGCUUCACUAUUAAAUAUUUUCCCCCCAGGUCUCAAAUACUGAAGAAUCUUAAACCAGGUACGGUAUUACUCCGCUUUCUUUUCUGGUUAAAAAAAAGGAAGCAGAUACUGCUUUUCGAAGUGUUUUGUAGGUAACAGAGGCAAGAGCAGAGCAGCAGGCGCAGUUCUGUGCUGGGCGGGAGAGAGGCAGAGGGCGGCGGCCCCCCUCCCAACCACCCCCCGGGAGGUGCGUCUCCGGCCGGCCGAGGCGGGCGCGGGGCGCAGGGCAAGGCUGCGGCUUUGACCUGGGCACAGACUGGAAACGCGCGUCUCUGCGUCGCUGGACUUACCCACCUCGUUACCCAGGCCAGGGCCCUCUUGGGGAGCUUGUGUUAUAGUGGCUACUUUUGGAAAUCGUGGUGAAGACCCCGGGACCAACGGUCAAGAUUGUAAAUACUCUUAUUUCGAUGUUCUGCAGGGACGCCAGCCCUAGCGCAGACCUUGGGCGGUUUCAAAGCGCAGGGCACCUCGAUUCCCCGAAUUUGUUGUGUGGCCGGUAUCGGUGUUCCCCAGGUUUAACUAGCCUGUCUGAAAGCGCACAUCAUUCUGGGAGAAGUACCACCGAAACCAGUUCUCCCUGCCCCUCGAGGGUCUCCAUUUUCCCAGUCCACCUCUGCCUGGGACUCCAGAAAGACAAACUUCCGAUGCACCAAGCGACCAGAGCUAGUGCCGGAGGCGGACAUCGUCUCGCAGGGAACCGACCUCAUCACCAAGUCCUUGGGAGAAGCGGGGAGAAAGCUGCUUGGAUGGACCGCGCAUCCAAGGGCUCCGGGACGCCGGCGUGGGAUGGAGAAGAGGGGGACCAGCCUGGCCUGGCCUCCCCUGGGCCCUCCACCUCCUGAGCUGCCAAGCCAGAGCCCGCUGGGCGGGCACAGGCUCCCAAAGGACUGGUUUUCUCUAAGCCUUGGUGUCCGCAUCUGAGCAAUGGGGUAUUGAAGCUGGCUGCGAGGAUGCGCUCGGAGUUGAAUGAGACCAAGGCGCGCACGGGGCUGGACGCUGAACACACGGGCUUUUUCUACGCACAAUAAAUGUGUGUGUGUGUUUUCUCUUCCCGCCUCU
rnacentral:lncRNA from 1 species